UUAAUUGUAUUAAGUAAUGCUUACUUAAAAUUUGUUAAGAAGUUAUACUAACUUGAACAUGUUAAGUGCCGGUAACUUUUUUCUUGUUUUGAGUUUACUAAAUUGAUAUUUUUUGAUUAAUAUGAACUUUUCCACGGAUUAUGUAACAACUACUUUAAAUGAUAAGUUCAUAGGUACUUAAAACUUUUCAGUUUUGACAUCAUAUAUGUCCUAUUUUGACCAAAUAAAUCAAUCGCAUGUGUAAAUAAAAAACUGUUAGAAGAAUUGUUGAAUCAAUAUAUGUUGCUACAUUUCAGAUUGGCAAAAAUAAAUAUAUUGCAUGUUAGGAAUUAAUAAUUUUCAUAUUAUAAUGUUGACAAAUAUUAAUGAAUAACAAUGACCUCUGGGCAUCCACACUAAAUAUAAAUCAAGACAAACACGCUUGUACCGGAAGUGUCCACGCGCUUUUAUUUUGAAAUUUUUGCGUGCGUUUCCUGUGCUGCCCGUGUGGAGCUGCUCGCGUCACCUGAGGUGAAACACGCUACCCCACAGAGAGGACUGCCGUUGGAGUUACUGUCAUCGGAGUUUCUGCUUUUUUCGCCAGGUUUCAGCGCCAUUGGAUUAAAUGAAUUACAUGAUGUGUACACAAGGCGUACCACUAUCCUACAUGCCCUUCCUGUAUAUCUGCGGGAGGAAAUCUCUGGAUUUUACAGAACAUGCGUGGAUGAUUUAGAGGAGCCAGAUGUCACAGAUGCAACGGUGGCCCUCCUUACAACCAUCAGCGAAAAUACCAUGAGUCCAGUCCACUACCACCCAGUAAAAACCUCUGUUGUCCUCGAAGGUGAUGUGGUGGUCAGCCUCCCCAGACUUGAUGAUGAUUCCUCUUAAUGUUCGGCCUAAUCUAUGCGCUACAUCUGAGCUAUCCCCAAGGACUGACCAACACUUUUGAGUUCAUUCAGAAAGUCGUACUUGGUCUGGAUGAGGGUAAAUUGUCACCCAGGCUGCAGACACUCAAGAAUGACUUGAUGAUAUGAUGAUGACAUCAUCUACAACAGUGUCCAUGUUGACGACUGUUUAACUGUGUUGAAGUUACUCCACAGGCCUAUUUGUUCAUGCAGUUUCACAUUUUAAAGGAAAACACAGUUCAUAGUGUUGAACUUUGUUUAGAUUUUAGUAAUUUAGUUGCUGGGACCUUAUUUCCCUCUGAGGACUUCUUGUUUAUUCUAUGGUAUGCUUCUUGUUUUAUUAUAUGGUGAAAAAAUGUUUAAAUUCAUUUUCCAAAGCUACAUACCUUGAAGU